AACGGUCUAUACCUGCGGUACCUGCGGAAGGAUCAUUACCGAGUUUUCAACUCCCUAACCCUUCUGUGAACCUACCUAUCGUUGCUUCGGCGGACUCGCCCCAGCCCGGACGCGGACUGGACCAGCGGCCCGCCGGGGACCUCAAACUCUUGUAUUCCAGCAUCUUCUGAAUACGCCGCAAGGCAAAACAAAUGAAUCAAAACUUUUAACAAUGGAUCUCU
rnacentral:misc_RNA from 1 species